rnacentral:misc_RNA from 1 species
CUGAAGUUUUAUAAAAUGCACAGGAAGAUGGAGGAUUACAAAGCGCUGUUGAUUUUAUUGUUUGUGUGUUUGGCGUCAUUUAAUGGUGCACAACGCUAUCUGCCUAGCAACCUUACAUCUGUGUACGUGGCUGAUGGCACAAUCAGGGUUUCAUGGGAUCCUCCUACCACACCGGGGAGAAGUGAUGGGUAUUCCGUCGCAGUCCUGGAGACAGGUGAAUAUGGCUAUGUAUCAACGGAUCACUGUGUUUACCAGUACAACAACACCAGACCGGCAACAACAUACAGCUUCGAACUGACCACAAUUAUAUCAGCUACAACCAGAGUUACAUCUCAGACCACCAUCACCACUCCAACUGCCAUAUAUAGACAAAGAAGUACAGGGACACAACUGAUGCUUCCAAAGCCCCCUGGUGGUCUAUCAUCCAUUAUAUUUAACGGUCGGACACUUUUCGCUUUCUUCGACAAUGAUAACAUUGGUGGUAACAAUAGAACUGAGUAUGGUGUAACAGUCAGAGUGACGUCAACAAAAACAGAACUGACCUUUGAUCGCCUGAAAACAGAGCAUGCUGGGUACUACUACACCAUGCAACAGAGUGGAAAUAUAAUCCUUGGAGGGCAAAUGUUAGUAGUAACUGACACACCCACUCGGCCAAACAUUACCCUUUCAAAUUCUUCGCCUGUUCUCAACACAUCAGUGAGAUUGGUAUGCUCUUCAGCUUCUCGAAGUCAACCGGACAAUCAUGGACUGGUUUUAACAGCCUCCUGGAAAUUGAAUGGUAGUGCAUUAAACCAUGCCAGAUUCUCAGUCAAUGAUUCAAGUCUCACUAUCAAUGCCGUACGAUUCAGAGACAAAUAUAAUGUCUACGCAUGUGUGGCUCACGAGACAGGACAGGGAGUAAGUGGAUUGACCUCAGAGGAAAGUGGAGCAUUCACGCUAACACCACGCUAUGGACCACAGUUUAUUACGAUAGAGAGCACUGAGGGUAAAUCUUCAGUGAUCAGAGGAGAUGUCUACGGUCCUGUGGUCUGUAGAACCGACUGCAACCCUGCUUGUUUAAUGGAGUGGCGGAGACAAGGCAUCCCAUUCAUUCCAUCACGUAGGGAUUCCAGUAAUGAACUAGAGUUGGUGGACGCCUCACUCCCGAGAGUAAGGGAGGUAACUUAUGCUUGUCAAGUACAAGUGGCACCAUCUGCAGGUUUUACCACACCGACACUAGAAAAGAACAUAACAGUUAUUGUUUAUUAUAGACCACAGUUUGUUACGAUAGAGAGCAAUGAGGAUAAAUCUCCAGCGAUCAGAGGAGAUGUCUACGGUACUGUGUCCUGUAGAACCGACUGCAACCCUUCUUGUUUAAUGGAGUGGCGGAGACAAGGCAUCCCAUUCAUUCCAUCAUGUAGGGAUUCCAGUAAUGAACUAGAGUUGGUGGACCCCUCACUCCCGAGAGUAAGGGAGGUAACUUAUACAUGUCAAGUAGAAGUGGCACCAUUUGCAGGUUUUACUGCACCGACACUAGAAAAGAACAUAACAGUUAUUGUUUAUUUCGCACCCCAAAUCACGGAAUUGAGGUAUCGGGACGGUGUUGAUAACCAGUACAUGCACAUUGGCAGUAAUGAAGUCAGAUACACAGAAGGUUCCAGCUUGGAACUCCGUGUUGAUGUUGACAGUAGCCCACUGGCUGACGUCACCCUGUUACGUAACCAGACAACGCUCGUAGUCGGCGUACCUGUCAGUACUGGAAUAUAUGAAAUUAAAUUACACAACCUCCAGUGCAACCAUACGGGAAAGUAUGACGUCUGGGCGGACAACUUCGUUACUCGGAAUAGAAGUACCGCCAACGCCCCGAGAAUGCAGUUUGGACUUCAAGUCAGUUGCGCCCCACGGAUAUAUAAUACUACGAAUACCAUUAUUAGUAUAACAGGGGAAAGGGGUCAGAUAGUUGUACUCAAUGUAACUGUGAUCGCCAACCCAAUGCCCACGAUUCAAUGGUCUGACGAAGUGAGAGCACUUGGUGUGGUACAAAACAACGAUAAUAUGUAUACUGUCACGGGGUUGGUCAGGAUCACGACGCAAUCUGAUUUCCAGAAGUGCUACCUUAAUGUCACGAAUACUUUACCGGAAGUAUUAACUGUCCUCUUCCAGAUCAGCCUUGAAGAGAUUCCGCAGAAGCCUUACACACAGUUAAACCUGAUUAUCUGUUUAGUGUCAAUCGGUGUAGUUGUCCUGGUUUAUGUUGUGGUCAUCGCCGUCUUGGGCAUGAAACGGAGACAACGUCAACAAGAUCAAACUGAUGCCAGCCUCAACCAAAACACCCAAGGCAACACCACCAGCCUCGAACUCCAAAGCAUAGCUACCACCCAUGGACGACGUAUCAAUGGCGACGACGAGCAGGAGCAUGCUUAUGUCAACGUUGACGAUGGCAUCCAAUCCAAUCACGAGCUCCAAAGUCAGGAUGACAACGAGUAUAUAGAGAUUAAUCCACCCAGAGGUAAAACUGAUGCCAAACUCAGCCAAAACACCCAAGGCAACACCACCAGCCUCGAACUCCAAAGCAGAGCUACCAUCCAUGGACGACGUAACAAUGGAGACGAAGGCCUGAUUCAAGGACCAAAAGGGAUCAAACUGACCAAAUAUCAACAACUAAUCCCCAACACCAAAAGCAGUUUAAAAGUAAACAUUGUUGAUGGAUGGAAAGGUGGUGCUAUUCACAAUGAUGAUAACAGCAAGCAUACUUAUUUGGAACUAACUGGAGAUGAUAACAAUGCAUAUAUGGAGAUGAAACCACCCGAAGGUGACGCUUCUCAAAAUGAUGAAACAGACAAAUACAUUGAUUUGGAACAAACUAGAGGUGGCGCUUCUCAAAAUGAUGAUACAAACAGAUACAUUAAUUUAGAACAAACUGGAGGUGGCGCUUCUCGAAGUGAUGAAAAAAACAAAUACAUUAAAUUGGAACAAACUGGAGGCCAGGAGCAUGUGUACGAUACGACUCAUCCUGAACAUCGUGACAGUGGCGCAAUCGGUGAACGCAAAGGCAGGGCUAGCAAGGAUAAAAAACGAAGACAUACUCCUCAACAGUGACGUGAAGAAAGAGCCUUUUCCCGACGGGAGAAAUGGUGUCAUUUCCAGGACAAAUGAUAGAACAAAAUGUGUCUUUGUUAACUUCCCACAGACUGCUUCUAACUGAAUCUAAAACGAUAAAGAAUGACAAAGGAAAUGUGUGCAGUUUGUUGAAGGAUCGAGAGGGCUUUCACGUUUUGAAUUUGACCUAGUCAUGCAUGGCGUAUGUUGAUGAUAAAGCAGAGAACGCUUUAUCUUCCGGAACACCAACUCAUUUGUUUCAUCGAUUUGGUUUGCUAUUAAACGUUGCGUUUACACUUCAUUACUUCCCUUACUUUAUCCAUCAAUAAUCUUUCUGGUGAGAUAUUAGCUAAUUAUUAUAAUAUUUCACUUUGCAUUUUUUCAUACAUAUUUGAUAGAGUUGUUUUUGUAAAACUAUUUAUUUAAGAGUUUGUUUGAUUGUAUUUUUUUAAUGAACGUCAGUGGGAUUGUAAAGGACUUAGGGCGUUAUGGACCAUUUACCGCCUCAUGAUUUUUUUUCAUAAAAAUCCACUUGAAUUUAUCGAACAAUUUCUUUUAUAAACAUUGUAUUUGUUUAGGAUGUACUUUUCUGAGGUUCAAACACCUUCAAGUCUGGUUUUGAUCUCUUGUAAGGGGUAAAUGAAGUAAUAAAUAAAGUAUGAUUUAUUUAAAUAGCAAACAUUAAUAGCGGCCAUUUUAAAAAUGUGUAUUUCUGUGUAUUUCUUGCGCGUCACGAAAAGCCAAAAUGUCACUCUUUUUACUCUAGAUAGAUCACUUAAUUGUCAGUGUGUCGCAAUUUCAGAUUGUCCUUUUUCGCUGUACAACUUUAUUAUGUUCAGUAUAAUGAAAACAAUAUGCAACAAAGGGGAAAUUUAUAAAUGUUUGGUAACCUACAUUCUUUUGAUUCGCUAAAUAUUUAAAAAAAAUAUUUUUGCUCUUAGCAGUCAGCUGAUCGAAGGUCAAGGUCAGAUUUUGUAUCUUUUAACUCCUUAACAUUUUGUUAUGACAUUAUGAAGCAAAGUUGGUCGGAAUCAAACAAGGUUUCAAUUGACUAAUGAUUAAGGUUAUUGAGUCAAAUGUCAAGGUCAAAUUUUACAUCCCUCAACUGGUUAACAUUUUGUUAUGACAUUAUGAAGCAAAGUUGGUAAGAAUCAAACAAGGUGUUAAGUGACUAAAUCUGUAGUUCGUUCAGUCUUAAUGUAAAAUAUUUAAAACAUAACUUUGCAAAUUGUAUGUUGAUGGGAACAUCAUAUUUCAAUUAAAAUUGCAUGGUGUACAAGAAAGAAAGACCAGUGUACCAGUUUUGGCGGUUAGCCAAUUGAAGACAUACUUAAUACGACUUCUGUGUUCAUUAGGGGCCCGUAUCGAAGAUACGGGUGCCCUAUAGUAAUCACUCUGUCUGUCCGUCUGUCCGUCCGUCUGUCUGUCGGUCCACACAUUUUGUUCCUGACUAAUAACUUGUUGAUGUUCAGUUCACAAAAAUACACAUUGAUGGAAAAAGUCAAGGACAAAGGUCAAAGUCAUUAGGUUCAAA